CUAUAAACAAGAAAUGAUUGUAACAGGAUGCUGUUACGAAGUCUCCCAAACGAAGCUCCCAUAAUUCGUAAUUCCCAGGGUCGCCUGACAUUGGGCAACGUCCAGUGAAAAUUGGUUUGGUCCAGUAAAGUUAUAUGCAUUAGUGAUGCCUGGGGACUAACCUUGUAUAUCAUUCAAAUCAUCUUGGCAUGACAAACCAGAAUAUAUAUGGUUUAGGGGUGGGGAUCUCGACCAUUUACAAGAUACUAGAACAUUGGGGGUGGGGAGGAACCCCUGGGGACUGACCCUAUACGUCAUUCAAAUGUUCAUUACAUGACGAACAGGAAUAUAUAUGGUUUAGGGGUGGGGAUCUCAACCAUUUACAAGAUAUUAGAAAAUUGGGGGUGGGGGGAACCCCUGGGGACUGACCGUAUACGUCAUUCAAAUGUUCGAGACAUGACAAAUAGGAAUAUAUAUGGUUUAGGGGUGGGGAUCUCAACCAUUUACAAGAUAUUAGAUCUUUCUCAAAUGGCAGGGGGUCGGGAUGACACCUGGGGACUAACCCUGUAUAUCAUUCAAACCAUCUUCGCAUGACAAACCAGAAUAUAUAUGGUUUAGGGGUGGGGUUCUUGACCACUUAGAAGAUAUUAGAACUUUCUUAAAUGGCAAGGGUGGGGGUGACCCCUGGGGACUAAGCCUGUAUUACAUUUGAUGUGCUUUAUCAUGACAAACCAGAAUAUAUAUGGUUUAGGGGUGGGGAUCUCGACCAUUUACAAGAUAUUAGAACUUUCUCAAAGGGCAGGGGGUCGGGAUGACCCCUGGGGACUAACCCUGUAUAUCAUUCAAACCAUCUUAGCAUAACAAACCAAAAUAUAUAUGGUUUAGGGGUGGGGAUCUUGACCACUUACAAGGUAUUAGAACUUUCUUAAAUGGCAGGGGGUGGGGGUGGCCCCUGGGGAUUAACCCUGUAUUUCAUUUAAUGGGCUUUAUCAUUUAGAACAUUUUCAAUUAAAAAUAUUGUGUCUAUCACAAACGGUUUUCAAUUUAUAACCAUUUGAAAAUUUUGAAAAAUAAAAUCCCAUAGGGUUCUAUAGUAAAACCCUCUUUUCUUUUUGCCCCUCAAAGUACCCCUUUAUAAACCCCAUUGCACACACAAAACCCUGAUUGCACCACUAGACAUGUUAGUCUAACAUAUUGUGAAACCCUAAGUUAAUCUGACAAGCGGUUUUGGAGAACAGGUGCGGACAAGUUCAAAUUUAAAAGCGGCGGAAGAGGAAGAAGAAGAAGAAGAAGAAGAAGAAGAAGAAGAAGAAUAAGAACUGAGCAAAAACAAUAAGUCUUCCCAAACUUCGUUUGGGAGACUUAAAUA